ACAAAGGCUCUUUUAAGAGCCACCCACAAUAUCCAGAAAAGAGCUG
rnacentral:ncRNA from 1 species